CCUACGGGUUGCAGCAGUGAGGAAUAUUGCUCAAUGGGCGCAACCCUGAUGCAGCGACGCCGCGUGCAUGAAGAAGGCUUUCGGUGUGUUAAACUCUAUCAGCAGGGGAGAAAAUGACGGUACCUGAUUCAGAAGCCACGGCUAACUACGUGCCAGCAGCCGCGGUAAUACGUAGGGGGCAAGCGUUAUCCGGAUUUAUUGGGUGUAAAGGGAGCGUAGACGGCAGAACAAGUCUGGAGUGAAAUGCCGGGGCUUAACCCCGGAACUGCCUUGGAAACUGUGCAGCUAGAGUGCAGGAGAGGUAAGUGGAAUUCCUGGUGUAGCGGUGAAAUGCGUAGAUAUUAGGAGGAACACCAGUUGCGAAGGCGGCUUACUGGACUGCAACUGACGUUGAGGCUCGAAAGCGUGGGGAGCAAACAGGAUUAGAUACCCCAGUAGUC
rnacentral:rRNA from 1 species